ACUGCUACUUACAGCACCGUAUAGCAGCCUUGCUCCUACGUUACACUGCCUUACUCUGCCCUGAAGCACUGGACUGGGGAUGGUCCAUCGGUAACUAUAAACUGAUUCUCAUCAGGAAACUGCACAUUAUCUCACCAUCACUUCAAAGGUCUCAUCAGGCAGAGGUGACGCCAGGAGAUGAUUUAAAGGUGAAAAUGACAAGGUUUCCACCCCUCAAACCUUGCCUUCUUUUCUGACAAUACAAUCUGAGUGAACCCGAUGUCUUAACUGUGGAAAUAGGAUUGGAAGAGAAAAACGUAUUUUUUUUUUAAUCCUGAUAAAGAAGACUGUUGGGAAGCUCUUUUUAAAAAAAUCUUAAACUGUGGCACAGAUGGAUUUUUAAAAGUGUUAGAUCAUUCCAAUGAACGCUAAUAGAGUGCUCUGCUCUUGGCUGGAUUUUUCAGAGAAUGGCAAUGGUCUCUGCGAUGUCCUGGGUCCUGUAUUUGUGGAUAAGUGCUUGUGCAAUGCUCCUCUGCCAUGGAUCCCUUCAGCACACUUUCCAGCAGCACCACCUGCACAGACCAGUUUCAGUGACAAGUUCCCUCUCGCCUGAUUUUUGUUGUUUUUUCUAUACUGAAUUUUUAGUUCUGGAUGCAUUUUGAUUUCUUCGUCUUUCCUUUCAAAGCAUAUUUCUUUCUCUUGCAUGGCCUCGCUCUUCAAUCUGGAUUUUUCUUUUCCUCUGCUUCUCCAGCUUUCACGUUACAGUUUCUCCCAGCUCGAUUGUCCUUACCU